AGAAAAAUUCUACAUGAGGAAUUACAUAUGACAAAAGUCUGUGCGAAGUUGGUGCCAAAAAACCUGACUCCUGACCAAAAGUUCUUGCGUCAACAGGUCUGCUCAGAAACCGUGAAAAGUUAAAAAAAGAUGCCACACUGAUGAAAAACAUUAUAACUUGCGACGAAACAUGGAUUUUUCAAUACGAUGUUGAAACAAAGCGA